AUUGAACGCUGGCGGCAGGCCUAACACAUGCAAGUCGAACGAGUGGCGGACGGGUGAGUAAUGUCUGGGAAACUGCCCGAUGGAGGGGGAUAACUACUGGAAACGGUAGCUAAUACCGCAUAACCUCGGAUGUGCCCAGAUGGGAUUAGCUAGUAGGUGGGGUAACGGCUCACCUAGGCGACGAUCCCUAGCUGGUCUGAGAGGAUGACCAGCCACACGGGAACUGAGACACGGUCCAGACUCCUACGGGAGGCAGCAGUGGUGAAGAGUGCACAAUGGGCGCAAGCCUGAGGCAGCCAUGCCGCGUGUAUGAAGAAGUCCUUCGGGUUGUAAAGUACUUUCAGCGGGGAGGCGUUACCCGCAGAAGAAGCACCGGCUAACUCCGUGCCAGCAGCCGCGGUAAUUC
rnacentral:rRNA from 1 species